CACGUAGGGUGCGAGCGUUGUCCGGAAUUAUUGGGCGUAAAGAGCUCGUAGGCGGUGUGUCGCGUCGGCCGUGAAAACUUGGGGCUUAACUCUGAGCGUGCGGUCGAUACGGGCAUCACUUGAGUUCGGCAGGGGAGACUGGAAUUCCUGGUGUAGCGGUGAAAUGCGCAGAUAUCAGGAGGAACACCGGUGGCGAAGGCGGGUCUCUGGGCCGAUACUGACGCUGAGGAGCGAAAGCAUGGGGGAGCGAACAGG
rnacentral:rRNA from 1 species